rnacentral:tRNA from 2 species
GCAGUCGUGGCCGAAUGGUUAAGGCGAUGAACUAGAAAUCCACUGGAGUCUCCCCCACACAGGUUCGAAUCCUGUCGACUGCG